CCGACGGUGAGGGGCGAAAGCUGGGGGAGCAAACCGGAUUAGAUACCCGGGUAGUCCCAGCUGUAAACGAUGCGCGUUAGGUGUGUCAGUGACCACGUGUCACUGAUGUGCCGAAGGGAAACCGUGAAACGCGCCGCCUGGGGAGUACGGUCGCAAGGCUGAAACUUAAAGGAAUUGGCGGGGGAGCACCACGACGGGUGGAGCCUGCGGUUUAAUCGGACUCAACGCCGGAAAUCUCACCGGAUAA
rnacentral:rRNA from 1 species